AUUGCUCUCCCUCAAGGUCUGAAAGAAGGAUGAUGAAAAGUUUAAGCAAUCACCAUGGAAACGUAGAGGAGAUACAAGGCGGGUUCAGAUCCCAGCACACUAACAGAUCAGUCUUCAGGUGCUGAGGUCCUGGUGGAAGGUGAAUUCUGACUAUUCACUGUGGCUUCCAGAAUCAGGGCUGACCCAGAGGCCACAUCCACAGUCAUGGGCUCAGAGCAUCCCAGGGGCUCAGCAGUGAGUUUCCUCAGCAUGGCAGAAGCCCACAGAUCUGCUGUCACAAAGUGGAACCCUGCUCAGGUCUGCAGGAGAAAAGACAUUCGAAGCCCAGCCUGGUCUUUCUCUGGUCUUGACCAAGAUGUGUUCCCUUUCAUGUCUGUGAAUAACCAAAAGAAGCAAGAGGUUCCUGCCUCCCAUCACUCUCAUUUAAAUGUGUGUCGCCAAAGCCAUGCCUUUUACUUUGAAGUGGCACCAUCCCACAUCCUCCUGCACAGCCUUGAUUCUGCACCAUCCCACACGCCCUUCGUGCCAGGAACUUCAGAUGCUGUCACUAUUCCAAGACGGCCAUGA
rnacentral:lncRNA from 1 species